AAAAAAAAAAAAAAGAAAGAACAACUCUAAAUCCAGUAGUCACCGUGGUAACAUCAACACCCUAGAAUAAAAACGCGAGUAGACUUCUUAAACUGGCACGGUCCAGCCUAAUUUGUCAAAAACUCUGAUAAAAAAGGCCUUCCAUGACCCACUCUAUAUCAGCCCCAUCGUGGCUUUGCGACCCCACUGUACUUUCCUCCCUCUCCUCCCCCUGCUUUCAGCUUCUUUUUAAUUUCAUUUUAGUCAUUAAUUCGAAACUGCUCACAUUCUAUUGACCCAAGUCUAGUGAAGGUUGUAAUCAGAACGUUUACCAUCUUUCUUAGUGUUACUUUAAAUUCACUGGAGGCACUCCUGUCGGCGUUAUCAAUGUCAGCUACUCCAUCUUUUACUGCAACAGAACCCACUGUAGCACCAUCCAUAUAUGCUCUACAUGCUACCAGAAUAUCACAUGCACGCAUGUGAAAAUGACCAAUGACAUAAUCUUCAAAAUACUUGGGCGGCCUUCGAAGUGUGUACAUCAUUGUCUUCAAAGAUAAGAUAAACACAUCCUCAUUGUACUUCCUGGAUCUUCUAUCCCCCUCCACACCAACAUAAGAUGAUUCAUAUCCAGGCUCAUUAAAGAAGGGCUUUGCAUUAAGAAUGAGAGCUUGAAUAGAAACCAAAACUUGAAGCAUGGUUGACGUCCCUGGGAUCCACAUCUCAUUCUGUUUCCCACUCCAUGUUCCCAAAAGGCUGAGGCAGACUUUCCCACAUUCAUACAAAUUCGGAUUCAAUCGAAGCCCACCUGAAUAGUAGUAGACCAUCGGAGGUGUAUCAGGAUAGUUAGGGGGGAAGAGACAGUCAAAGACAAAAAGGCCAUCAUGAUAAGGAGUACCAGCAGGUCCUAUAAUGACAGCCCUCAAAAGUUCCAUCCUUGCUUCAUAAACUCUAACAGAUAUUGUAUCUGGUAAGUCCUUCUCCAAAAUUUUCCAUUCCUCUUGAAUUCUCUUUGCCCAACUCUUGGGCUGCUGCUGCCCUGAGAAGCCCAUACGGCUAUAGUGAUGAUCUGAGAAAUCUUCCACAGUAUCAAAUUGUUUAAAGUUCUUAAAUUUUCGAAUGAUACCAUUUUCUUCAUUGUCUAUGACUUCCCCAUUAGAACUCGAUUCUGCAGUAACUGCAGAACUACUUGUAGCUUCUGCUGGACUUCUAUUUCCAGAACAACUGGAAGUAAUUACUGUCCUUUUUGUUUCAGCAAUACCUGAUACAGCAUCCUUCCCCUUGCUUUCAAAAAGAUCUGCAAUAGUUGAAUUGCUUGUACCUGAUGUGACAAUUCCAGAAGGAGCAGGAUCCUUCAGCCAAGGAAGUGAUGCCUCUAUUCCAGGUGGAAGAUCCACAUUAUCAAAUUGAGAUUGGAUAGCCAAAUAAUCAUCUUCAUACAAGUAGUCAUCAUUGGCAUCAUAAUCAGAAUUAUCAUCAACAUAAUCACCACCAUCAUCACAAAUUUCAUCAUCAUGAUAUGAUAAGUCAGAAUUGGAACUGUUGAUAUUGUUUAUAUUAAUUGAUCCAGAAUUGGAACUCUUUAGAUGAUCAACACUAUCAACAGAUCCUGCUAAGCUAGUAGAAAUCCCAGGAUUACAAGAUGAAGCAUCCUUAAUGUGAUGUGGCCAUGUAUCAUCAUAACCUACUUUUGAUUUUCCCUUGGAACAUGCAUCAGCUUUUUCAUGACCAAUCAAAACUUCAGAGGGCUCUAGAUCACUUUCAACAUCCAUUACAUCACAUAGAACCUAAACAAGAAGAUUGCAUCCUUAACUUGGGAAAUCACAUAUGCUAACAGAAAACCCUUGUAAACCAUUUCAAUAUAGAAGUGGUAAUAUAUCAAAAUGCAAUCUAUGGACACCCAAUUGUGGGAACAUGUUAAUGAGAGUGAGAAAGAGUUCCAGUACCAUAAUAAAGAGUCCAAUUAACACAACCAGGUAAGAUACGUGGAACUAUGAUUUGUCAACCAGUUUUUACACAACAGAAUCAAACCUCCAUUUUGUAUGUCAAAAACAAAAUCUUUCUAUUCAAUUGUGACGUUUGGAAAGUUAACAAAACAAUAGGCUUUCAGGGGAGAAAGAAAAGGCUGAUUUUCAUAAAUAGCUAAAAAUUGAAGCUACUGUUGGAGUAUUAUUAAAAUUCCCAGGUAAUCGCAUUCAAAUACACAGGUGAAAGCUAAUACUUGAAUUCCAUGUAUCAUUCUAACAAAGGAUUGCAUGAGUGGAAGUUUAUGGAGCUGGAUAAAAAUACAAGAAUUUAAUGAGUCAUAAUAAGCUUGGAAAAUAGCAACAUGUCUGCCACAACUUUCAUAAUGUAAGGAAAAAAUUCGGGCAAGUUGUACAGUUCCAAGUAAUCAAUGCUACUUCCAAAUUCUAGCCCAACCAUAACUGUGCAUUCAAAUUGAUAUAGUAUCAUUUCCUAUAUUUUGCCAAAAAUCUAUCCUCAAUGCCAAUUUGUUUUCCUAAAUUAGUUCAUCCAAUUUUGAAGUGUAAGUAAUAAGAAUUAGCUAUUACCCGUAUAAAUCCAAAACUUUCAGAUAAACAUCACCCAGAGAAUCGUCUAGCACACAACAAACAUAAUAUAUAUAAUGACACAAAUUGAACAGUUACCAAUUGAACAAAGUGGAUUUUCAAUUUUGUCAGAAAUGAUACUAACAAGGACAGAAAAGAAUAGCAAACAAACAGCCAAAUUUGUAACAUAAAAUCCAUUUGGCAACAGAGAAACCCGAUGAGAAAAGCAAACCAGAACAAAACAAGCACCUUCUUUCCACCUACUAAUUUUCUAACUUAUGCACAAGUCCUGGGUCUGAAUUCACCUUUUCCACUUAACCAAACAACAGUAACUCAACUUUCUUGCAACCAAUUCUCUCGCAAAAAAAUUUCAUCUACGAUCAAGACUCAGAGGUCAAAUCACGAUCAAUCAAAAUUCGGCGCUUAUAAUCCAUCAAAAAUCAAAAACUAAGACGAAAUUACACCAAUUUCGCAAGAAAAAAAAAAUCCAAUUCAAUUUAAAACUUCAACCCUAAACUUGCCAUAAUUAGAAUUAUGAUCAAAAAACGAAAAAAUCUACCUCGUCGUGCUUGAGUUUCUUGGAGAUCGAGACUUGAUCAUCCAUGUCGACAUCCAUGAAAGCAAUCCAAUUCGAUUUUCACACUACUGAAAGCCACUCAGAAAUUUACAUUGUACGAUCUAUUACUGUUGAAUUUUGCUGCAAAUUCAUGCAAAUAACGAACCAGAAAAAUAAGCCAAAAAGCAUAAAAUAAAAGCGAUCGAUACCUGAUAACUGAAAAGUCACCAAUUUUUACUUUUGUGAGC
rnacentral:misc_RNA from 1 species